CGUAGGAUUCAUAGUUGCCAUGCGUAGGCCUAGUUUUAUUUUUGAACUAAUUUACCUGUGUUGCCUCUCUCGGAUUUAAGAAUUUAGGGGGCACAUGAAAGCACCGCUGAGACGGGGAUUUGACGUCGCCAUCUUCUGGCCAGAUCGCUACCUUUAACGGCUUAUGGGUCCAGAUAGUUGAUUCCAAUGUAAUCAGCGUAUAAUUGACACGUUUGAACUGCUAAUAUACAUUCAGCACGGGGAGUGGUUUUGUUGGUGAACCAAUCAAGAUUUGAAGAAUCUAGAAGUCGUCUAAACUGGGGGAGCUGGUGGACUGUACCUCUGCUCAGAAAAUAAGGUGUGGCAGCAUGUAUCUGCUUCAAAAAAAGUUUGGAGUUGGACAUAUGGAGCACGCAACAAAAUGGGGCAGGAACAAUAUCUCAAGGUUAUAAUCCAUAGUUACGAGGAGCGGUUGCUAGGUGCGUUGCUGAGAUACAGACCCUUCUCUCCACUGGCGCUACGUAGGAGGCCAGCGGGUCCUUGAUGAUGGCAGAGAGAUGAGGGACGGGUGAAAGGAUGACAAGAGACAGGACAAUGAGGAUAGGAAAUAGACACACACACACCUGACAGAGGCUGUGUGAGCAGAGGCCCAAAGAGAGCACAGAAGAAAGGCUGAAAAUGAGAGCAGAGAAUAGAAAGUAAACACAAAAAAAGAUAAUGUAACAGUCUAAGUGGGCAAUCUGCACACCUCCAUUUGCACGCAGCUACAUUUUAGUGUGCCUGUUUCUGCCUGUGUUUGUGUGCAUCCGUGUCUGUAUGUGUGUAUUUGUGCUGCACAUGAAAGACAGAGUGACAGUGGAAAAGAGGGGAAGAUGGGGAGUCUACUUUGACUCCUUGAAAAGUCUAUCGUGAUAAAAAAAAAAAAAAAAAAAAGAGAAAGAUAAAAAAUAAGCUGCACUGAUGACUUCAAUCACCGAAUCCUUUGUAUACAGGCUGUUUUUCCUGGGGAGUGGGGACAAAACUGAAGAAAAAACACAUGGUAAAAAGGAAACUUUGAGUAUAGCCAGCUUUUCCAAGUUGUCUUCUGUUUGACGCAAGUGACACACUGGCGUCGUGAUCACCAUGUUUAUAAUAUGCAAAUAUUAUACAUAUAUGUUUUUUUUUUAUGAUGAGAUUCUUUUAAAAAAAUCUCAUUUUUGGAUACGUUUGACCUGUUAGAUGUCUCCACAUGCUCCCACAGAUGUCGCACGCAGAGACAGUAACAGCUCUCUGUUUAUUAGUGCUCAUGGUCAUAUAACCACCUGAGUUACACAAGCUGUCAUUUUUUUUUUUUUUUUUUUUUUUCAAGGCUGAUCCGAUUAGUAUUGUGAUGAUAGAAACCCACGGGAGUACUUACUCCUCACGAGUUUCCUUGUUGGUAGAUGGAAAGAGUGUUCUUUGGUGCUGAAGCUGCAGGAGCAAUCUGCCGCUCCCAGCUCCGAUUAUCCCCAGCCUCUCCCCCAGGGGGCAGUAGCAGCGUACACACAACCAUACGACACACUCUGAGAUCAAAGGCACCGAGCUUCUGCAAGCCAAAACAGCCACCAUUGCCCUCUCUUCUGUCUACCUCAGGACAAGUUUUCAGCAGUUUUUUUUUUUUUAAGGGAUAUUAACAUGAUGUCAUAGAAUGAGAAACCAACCUCAAAAGGAAGUCUUUCAGAUUCCUUUGAAUAGGCAGCGCGGCUGUACCUCUGCCUAUCGCCUCUGACAAUGUUAUUAGGAAGAUAAUUCUCACAAGCAAAUAAACAGUGUGUAACACCCCUGUGAGUUCUCCUUUCAGGUUGGGUUAUUGUGUGUGUAUUUCACUGAUAUUGUGUCAUCUGGUGAGGAAGUAAACAUCUGGGUUAGUUGGAGGUUAGGCUUUUUAUUUUGUGUGAAACUAUAACUGAAAGAGUUUAUGGAUGAUCACAGGCAACACUUUACAUUCAGUUCAAAAAUCAACUUACAUCUGUCACUGACUGACAGUGUUUAAAAUAUAAAACUGUACUAUCAUAUGUGUAGCUCACAAACAUCUAAUUUUGUCAGAGUUGAUUGAAUUUCUUAUCUGCACCCUCACGUCUCUGUUUUACUUAAUUUCAUUUAGGACUUAAGUAAUUAAAGAAUCAUAAGAAAAGACGUUGAAAAGUACUUAAAAUGCCCUACAAUUUGUUAUUAUUAAUGAAUGAAUUUGAAAUCUCAAUUGUUGGCUGCCUAGUGUGAUUGCUUUGAUGUCUUAAUGUACCCAAACAAAAUCCAAACAAAAGGAAAGGAAUUAGAAAAAAGAGAGAAAUUAAUUAAGUUCCUAUUAGUUAGUGAUUUGUACUUUCUGACUGAAAAAAUAAUCAUAUUAAGUAAAAAAAAAAAGAAAAAGAAAAUGUUAAAGUACAAGGAUGGCAGAAGACUGUUUUAUAACUGUUUAGUAAACGGCUUUCACUGUAUAUUACUGAGUAAAGAUGCAUUGUAAUUGGUAAUACAAAUAGCUUUGGAUUAAACAAUAGAUGGACCUCUGGCUCAGUGUCUGUCCUUCAGCUCAGCAGCCUCUUCAUACUGUAGGCUUUGCUUUGAGCAGAGACCCCUGUUGGUUGAUUGGAAUGACUUCCCUAAUUGGAUUCAAUUCCUAAUUGAAAUGUAAUAAAAAUGCAUCAGUAGACGUGGCGCCAACAAUUACCUCAUGCAAAUCUCUUGAUGAAUUGACGUGAGGGGCGUAAUUGCAGCUGUUAAAAAAAUGCAUUGAUUUCUCCUGGAAUAACAUCAAUUCAAAUCAGUUCACGCACACGCUUCAGCCUGCGUACGGAAAGCAUUUGUCACCGCUCAGUGUCCCUGUUUGGAGGUAUACAGAAAAAAUGGAAACAUCUGCACCCUUUCACGUGGGUACGUCAGAUUGAUUGGGCAUGUGAGACUCUGUGUCAAAUGUGCUAC